rnacentral:tRNA from 1 species
GUUGCCGUGGCCGAGUGGUUAAGGCGAUAGACUUCAAAUCUUUUGGGAUUUUCCCUCGCAGGUUGGAAUCCUGCCGACAACG